rnacentral:rRNA from 1 species
UACGAAGGGGGCUAGCGUUGCUCGGAAUCACUGGGCGUAAAGGGUGCGUAGGCGGGUGUUUAAGUCAGAGGUGAAAUCCUGGAGCUCAACUCCAGAACUGCCUUUGAUACUGAAAGUCUUGAGUACGGGAGAGGUGAGUGGAACUGCGAGUGUAGAGGUGAAAUUCGUAGAUAUUCGCAAGAACACCAGUGGCGAAGGCGGCUCACUGGCCCGUAACUGACGCUGAGGCACGAAAGCGUGGGGAGCAAACAGG